CCUACGGGUGGCAGCAGUGGGGGAUAUUGCACAAUGGGGGAAACCCUGAUGCAGCGACGCCGCGUGAGUGAAGAAGUAUUUCGGUAUGUAACGCUCUAUCAGCAGGGAAGAAAAUGACAGUACCUGACCAAGAAGCCCCGGCUAACUACGUGCCAGCAGCCGCGGUAAUACGUAGGGGGCAAGCGUUAUCCGGAUUUACUGGGUGUAAAGGGCGCGUAGACGGUUAUGAAAGUCUGGAGUGAAAGCCCGGGGCCCAACCCCGGGACUGCUUUUGAAACUGUUGAACUGGAGUGCAGGAGAGGCAGGCGGAAUUCCUAGUGUAGCGGUGAAAUGCGUAGAUAUGAGGAGGAACACCAGUGGCGAAGGCGGCUUGCUGGACUGUAACUGACGUUGAGGCUCGAAAGCGUGGGGAGCAAACAGGAUUAGAUACCCCAGUAGUC
rnacentral:rRNA from 1 species